CCGAGUUUACAACUCCCAAACCCCCAAUGUGAACGAUACCCCCCUCCUGUUGCCUCGGCGGGAUCGCCCCGGGCGCGUCGCAGCCCCGGGCCAAGGCGCCCGCCGGAGGAAAAACGCAAACCCUUCCGUCAGGACCACCCCGGUGGCCGCUGUCUUCUGUACACCUCUGAACUCCUCUGACGCUCCCCGGAGCCGACGAAAUGAAUCA
rnacentral:misc_RNA from 1 species